UACAGAGGGUGCGAGCGUUAAUCGGAAUUACUGGCGUAAAGCGUGCGUAGGUGGUUUGUUAAGUCUGAUGUGAAAGCCCUGGGCUCAACCUGGGAAUUGCAUUGGAUACUGGCAGGCUAGAGUGCGGUAGGGGAUGGCGGAAUUCCCGGUGUAGCAGUAGAAAUGCGUAGAGAGUCGGAGGAACAUCUGUGGCGAAGGCGGCCAUCUGGACCAGCACUGACACUGAGGCACGAAAGCGUGGGGAGCAAACAGG
rnacentral:rRNA from 1 species